GCUUUCAUGUGACUCAGUUGGUAGAGCAUUGCACUAACACCGCAAAGGUUGUAGGUUUAAAUCCCAGGGGAACCA